rnacentral:tRNA from 1 species
GGAGAGAUAUCGAAGCGGUCAUAACGAGGCGGUCUUGAAAACCGUUUGUCCGAAAGGGCGCGAGGGUUCGAAUCCCUCUCUCUCCGC